rnacentral:rRNA from 1 species
GAUUAGCCCGCGUUGGAUUAGGUAGUUGGUGGGGUAAUGGCCUACCAAGCCGACGAUCCAUAGCUGGUUUGAGAGGAUGAUCAGCCACACUGGGACUGAGACACGGCCCAGACUCCUACGGGAGGCAGCAGUGGGGAAUCUUAGACAAUGGGGGCAACCCUGAUCUAGCCAUGCCGCGUGAGUGAUGAAGGCCUUAGGGUUGUAAAGCUCUUUCAGCUGGGAAGAUAAUGACGGUACCAGCAGAAGAAGCCCCGGCUAACUCCGUGCCAGCAGCCGCGGUAAUACGGAGGGGGCUAGCGUUGUUCGGAAUUACUGGGCGUAAAGCGCACGUAGGCGGACCAGAAAGUUGGGGGUGAAAUCCCGGGGCUCAACCCCGGAACUGCCUUCAAAACUAUUGGUCUGGAGUUCGAGAGAGGUGAGUGGAAUACCGAGUGUAGAGGUGAAAUUCGUAGAUAUUCGGCGGAACACCAGUGGCGAAGGCGGCUCACUGGCUCGAUACUGACGCUGAGGUGCGA